rnacentral:tRNA from 1 species
GGGUAAUUAGCUCAACGGCUAGAGCGCUUGAUUCACAUUCAAGAGGUUGUAGGUUCGAAUCCUGCAUUACCCACCA